AUCUACAGCCAUGCCACCCUGAACAAGCCCGAUCCUGUCUAAUCUUGGAAGCUAGGCAGGGUCAGGCUUGGUUAGUACUUGGAUGAGAGACCACCUAGGAAGACCAGGUGUUGUAGGCA
rnacentral:rRNA from 1 species